CCGGAUUUCAAUCGCCUAAGUUAAUUAAUGACAUAAAAUAUGUCAUGUCUUAUAAUUAUACACAUCACCAUAAUAGUAACAAGCCUAUUAUUUACAAUUCUGUUUAUUUACUCACUUCACAUAUGAUUUGUAUGCGCUAUCUCAAUCUCAACGAAAAGACGUAUACCUUAAGCUUGUCUUCUCCGGUCAUUUCUUCAACAUAUUUCUUAAUUUUGGACAUCGACCUUUUAAGCUGAGGGCAGUGCAAUACUUUGAUAAGAUGUAAUGACGCAAUAUCUCCAAAACUGUCUGGGAUUUCCAUAAGCUUAUCACAUGAAUCUAUAAAUAGUUUCUCGAGCACGGGAAAGGAUUUCUCUGCAUCAACCUUCCAUUCAGAAAAUGACAAUUCUACCAAUUUUAGAGAUUUGAGAUUCUGGAAAAUGACAUUUUCCAUGUUCCAUUCUUUGCCCUCGUCGAUGAUUACCUGUUCUAGACUUAGUUUUUCAAGGUUGGGUAGUCUUGAAAGUGUAUCGGAUGUCAGAGUGAGCCCUCCCAACUUCAGUUUCUUCAAGCUCAAAGGGAAGCCAUGUGUAUAUUCAGGGAAUGGAUUCCGAGCAGAAACAAAUAAAAGGAGUUGUUCAAGUUCAUUAAGCACAUCCAAUCUUGGAAAACACGUAUUCUCUGGUAUUUGUGAAUUGAUAUAGACUCUAAGGUUUCGAAGUUUAGGAAACCUUUUGAAAAUAAAAUCCUCCGUGUCUUCUGAACCGGGAAGGUAGAGAUCAUGUAAUGAUGUCAAAUUUUCUAACCUUGAGUCCUCAUCUAAAACAGUUGGAUCAAAGGGAUCAGCACAACACUUCAUCCAUACAUCUCGUAGCUUUGUUAGACU
rnacentral:misc_RNA from 1 species